rnacentral:rRNA from 1 species
AUGCACGCUGGCGGCGUGCCUAAUACAUGCAAGUCGAGCGAACAGAUGAGGAGCUUGCUCCUCUGACGUUAGCGGCGGACGGGUGAGUAACACGUGGAUAACCUACCUAUAAGACUGGGAUAACUUCGGGAAACCGGAGCUAAUACCGGAUAAUAUAUUGAACCGCAUGGUUCAAUAGUGAAAGACGGUUUUGCUGUCACUUAUAGAUGGAUCCGCGCCGCAUUAGCUAGUUGGUAAGGUAACGGCUUACCAAGGCAACGAUGCGUAGCCGACCUGAGAGGGUGAUCGGCCACACUGGAACUGAGACACGGUCCAGACUCCUACGGGAGGCAGCAGUAGGGAAUCUUCCGCAAUGGGCGAAAGCCUGACGGAGCAACGCCGCGUGAGUGAUGAAGGUCUUCGGAUCGUAAAACUCUGUUAUUAGGGAAGAACAAAUGUGUAAGUAACUAUGCACGUCUUGACGGUACCUAAUCAGAAAGUCACGGCUAACUACGUG